AGUGAACGCUGGCGGUAGGCCUAACACAUGCAAGUCGAACGGCAGCACAGUAAGAGCUUGCUCUUACGGGUGGCGAGUGGCGGACGGGUGAGGAAUACAUCGGAAUCUACUUUUUCGUGGGGGAUAACGUAGGGAAACUUACGCUAAUACCGCAUACGACCUACGGGUGAAAGCAGGGGAUCUUCGGACCUUGCGCGACUGAAUGAGCCGAUGUCGGAUUAGCUAGUUGGCGGGGUAAAGGCCCACCAAGGCGGCGAUCCGUAGCUGGUCUGAGAGGAUGAUCAGCCACACUGGAACUGAGACACGGUCCAGACUCCUACGGGAGGCAGCAGUGGGGAAUAUUGGACAAUGGGCGCAAGCCUGAUCCAGCCAUACCGCGUGGGUGAAGAAGGCCUUCGGGUUGUAAAGCCCUUUUGUUGGGAAAGAAAAGCAGCAGGUUAAUACCCCGCUGUUCUGACGGUACCCAAAGAAUAAGCACCGGCUAACUUCGUG
rnacentral:rRNA from 1 species